AACCAGCACCUCAAGUGGUCAGGAUGAUUAUUGGGCCUAAAGCAUCCGUAGCCGGUUCUGUUAGUUUUCGGUUAAAUCCAUGUGCUCAACACAUGGGCUGCCGAAAAUACUGCAGGGCUAGGGAGUGGGAGAGGUAGACGGUACUCGAUAGGAAGGGGUAAAAUCCUUUGAUCUAUUGAUGACCACCUGUGGCGAAGGCGGUCUACCAGAACACGUUCGACGGUGAGGGAUGAAAGCUGGGGGAGCAAACCGG
rnacentral:rRNA from 1 species